GGCAAGAGAGACUAGAAAUUCAAAGCACAGGACAUUUAUUGUAUUUGAUGGGAGAAUAGGCCUGAGCAUGGCAAAUCCCAUAGUCAAACAGAGCUCUGUGGAAUCAUCAAAAUGCUACAGCAACAUUUAAUUCUGAAAAGCGACUUUGCAGAAAUGACACCUUCUUAUUGAACAGACUUACUCCCUGUGUAUAUUCGGAGACAAAGCCAUAUCUGCUUAGUUUAGAGACAAAAGGGAUUUUCUUGGUUUUCACUUGAUUCUUCUCAGAACCUUUUUAUUUCUUUUUAACCAGCUUUUAAAGCCUGAAGAUUUCCAGGCACUACAUUCCCACCCAAGAAGAUUUCAACAGGACUGCCAAUUGCAACUGUCUGUGCUGUUUCCUAACUGACCAGAGAGGUGGCUCUUCAGCAACAUGAAGUUCUCCCUUCCUCCCAGGAACUGAGCACGCUGUCUCUGAAUCAUUUACAGCAGUUGUGACCUGAGUUGGAAACUGGUAUCAUGGGAAUCAAAGUGAGGUCUCUCUCGUGGCAGUGCAGGGGACUGUGACAAGUCUCUCUGUUAAGAGUUAAAUUCUCUCUUCUUACACCAAUUUCUUCCCACAUUUCAGUGGGGCAGCAUGGUGAUGGGCGUACCUGAAAGUAGAAUGUGUUCCUUUGUUAUUUUUAUAUAACUAAGCAUUUGAAGCCCAGCAGUUAUGAGAAGAUGAUUCUAGGUCACAGCCCUUGCUCUUACUUGUGACUGAAUCAACAUAAAUUUUAAAGAGAAACUACUGGUGAGCUUAAAUGACCUGGGAAUGUAUUGUAGCAAGCAAUCUUUGAGAAGGAGCAAAUAACUCUUUGUAAACAGCAAGGCUGUCCCAAGGAGAAGACCAAACCGCCAUGAAUUACUGAAGUCUCUGGCCCACUUGCCUCGUGUAUGUCUCAAUCUGGACUGCAUUGAUGCCCUGUAAUUCUCUUAACAGAAAGGAACCUUCUUCCCAAUGCACAUUCUUCACCAACAUAGGUCAUACAUGUAUCUUGGCCACUGUAAUAGGACAUCCAUUCCAAUUCAGGGGGCAUACAUCGGGGGAGAAACAGAUUUCCUAGAUAUGCCGGGCACAUUCCAUUAAAAUCCUGCUGCAUGCUUAUAUAUAAUA